rnacentral:rRNA from 1 species
UACGUAGGGUGCAAGCGUUGUCCGGAAUUAUUGGGCGUAAAGAGCUCGUAGGCGGUUUGUCGCGUCUGCUGUGAAAACCCGAGGCUCAACCUCGGGCCUGCAGUGGGUACGGGCAGACUAGAGUGCGGUAGGGGAGAUUGGAAUUCCUGGUGUAGCGGUGGAAUGCGCAGAUAUCAGGAGGAACACCAAUGGCGAAGGCAAAUCUCUGGGCCGUAACUGACGCUGAGGAGCGAAAGCCAGGGGAGCGAACGGG